AAACCAAAGCUGGCGACCGGCGCACGGGUGAGUAACACGUAUCCAACCUGCCUCAUACUCGGGGGUAGCCUUUCGAAAGAAAGAUUAAUAUCCGAUAGCAUAUAUUUCCCGCAUGGGUUUUAUAUUAAAGAAAUUCGGUAUGAGAUGGGGAUGCGUUCCAUUAGUUUGUUGGCGGGGUAACGGCCCACCAAGACUACGAUGGAUAGGGGUUCUGAGAGGAAGGUCCCCCACAUUGGAACUGAGACACGGUCCAAACUCCUACGGGAGGCAGCAGUGAGGAAUAUUGGUCAAUGGACGCGAGUCUGAACCAGCCAAGUAGCGUGAAGGAUGACUGCCCUAUGGGUUGUAAACUUCUUUUAUAUGGGAAUAAAGUGGUCCACGUGUGGAUUUUUGUAUGUACCAUAUGAAUAAGGAUCGGCUAACUCCGUGCCAGCAGCCGCGGUAAUACGGAGGAUCCGAGCGUUAUCCGGAUUUAUUGGGUUUAAAGGGAGCGUAGGCGGAUUGUUAAGUCAGUUGUGAAAGUUUGCGGCUCAACCGUAAAAUUGCAGUUGAUACUGGCAGUCUUGAGUGCAGUAGAGGUGGGCGGAAUUCGUGGUGUAGCGGUGAAAUGCUUAGAUAUCACGAAGAACUCCGAUUGCGAAGGCAGCUCACUGGAGUGUAGCUG
rnacentral:rRNA from 1 species